rnacentral:rRNA from 1 species
UACAGAGGUCCCAAGCGUUGUUCGGAUUCACUGGGCGUAAAGGGUGCGCAGGUGGUUUGGCAAGUUUGACGUGAAAGCCCCAGGCUUAACCCGGGAACGGCGUUGAAAACUGCUUGAACUGGAGGGUCGGAGGGGGACUGGAAUUCUUGGUGUAGCAGUGAAAUGCGUAGAUAUCAAGAGGAACACCAGUGGCGAAGGCGAGUCCCUGGACGAUACCCGACCACUGAGGCACGAAAGCCAAGGGAGCAAACAGG